rnacentral:lncRNA from 1 species
UUCUCUUAGCCUGUCUAUCAGCUUUUUAAAGGUGUAGUUCUUUCUCCACUCCUAAUAAAUAUUCUCCUCAGGAAUGUGACUGUAUUGUUUGCAGCUCUAUUUCUGGUCCAUCUCUCUUUCUGAGGCACAUGGGCACCUGUGAGCACUGCACAUCCAGGCCCAGACAUCUAUCAAAAUCUUUUCAGAGACUGUCACUGCCUCCAAGGUCUGUUCACUGUUCUGGGGAAUUAGCUUAUACUCACAGCUAGAACUAAUCCUGCCAAAUUCUUCAAGGAAUUCAGAGCUCCACAAGUUUAGCCCUCUAAUCUCUGCACACCAACAUGCUAUGUGCAACCAAAUUGUGUGCACAAUUUUACAGUAUAUUCCAUCUGAUUGCUUCUUCUUGAGUUGCUUUGCUGUCCUCCGCUUUUAUAAGGAUGCUUUGAUCUGUGGUUUUAGUUCAUAA